rnacentral:rRNA from 1 species
GACGAACGCUGGCGGCGUGCUUAACAUAUGCAAGUCGAACGGUAAGGCCCUUCGGGGUACACGAGUGGCGAACGGGUGAGUAACACGUGGGUGAUCUGCCCUGCACUUCGGGAUAAGCCUGGGAAACUGGGUCUAAUACCGGAUAGGACCACUGCCUGCAUGGGUGGUGGUGGAAAGCUUUUGCGGUGUGGGAUGGGCCCGCGGCCUAUCAGCUUGUUGGUGGGGUGAUGGCCUACCAAGGCGACGACGGGUAGCCGGCCUGAGAGGGUGACCGGCCACACUGGGACUGAGAUACGGCCAGACUCCUACGGGAGGCAGCAGUGGGGAAUAUUGCACAAUGGGCGCAAGCCUGAUGCAGCGACGCCGCGUGAGGGAUGACGGCCUUCGGGUUGUAAACCUCUUUCAGCAGCGACGAAGCGCAAGUGACGGUAGGUGCAGAAGAAGGACCGGCCAACUACGUGCCAGCCGCCGCAGUAA